rnacentral:rRNA from 1 species
UACGUAGGGUGCAAGCGUUGUCCGGAAUUAUUGGGCGUAAAGAGCUCGUAGGCGGUUUGUCGCGUCUGCUGUGAAAGUCAAAGGCUCAACCUUUGAAUGUCAGCGGAUACUGCCGGGCUAGAGUCCGGAAGAGGCGAGUGGAACUCCUGGUGUAGCGGUGGAAUGCGCAGAUAUCAGGAAGAACACCAACGGCGAAGGCAGCUCGCUGGGACGGAACUGACGCUGAGGCGCGAAAGCGUGGGGAGCGAACAGG